rnacentral:rRNA from 1 species
UGAGCAACCUGCCCUUGACUCUGGAAUAACAGUUGGAAACAGCUGCUAAUACCGGAUACGACCUCCGACGGCAUCAUCUGGAGGUGGAAAGCUCCGACGGUCAAGGAUGGGCUCGCGGCCUAUCAGCUUGUUGGUGAGGUAACGGCUCACCAAGGCUUCGGACGGGUAGCCGGCCUGAGAGGGUGACCGGCCACACGUGGGACUGAGACACGGCCCAGACUCCGUACGGGAGCAG